UACAGGGGGGUGCAAACGUUGCUCGGAAUCAUUGGGGCGUAAAGCGCACGUAGGCGGUUCGUUAUGUCGGAUGUGAAAGCCCUUGGCUUAACCGAGGAAGUGCAUCCGAAACUGGCGAGCUAGAGUACGAAAGAGGAUCGCGGAAUUCCCGGUGUAGAGGUGAAAUUCGUAGAUAUCGGGAGGAACACCGGGUGGCGAAGGCGGCGAUCUGGGUCGAUACUGACGCUGAGGUGCGAAAGCGUGGGGGAGCAAACAGG
rnacentral:rRNA from 1 species